rnacentral:tRNA from 1 species
GCCGGCCAACUUCAUUGUCGAGGUGGUCAGCCUUCCAAGCUGAUGAUGCGGGUUCGAUUCCCGCCGCCCGCU